rnacentral:lncRNA from 1 species
GAUGGAAACUAGUGACCUAUUUCACCAACAAAUUAGUUACUUGGCCAGUUGACUUAAGUGAUAUUGUAGGUGACCCCGGUUCUUUUUCAAUUUUUCGGGCUGGUUUAUCGGGUUGUUUUGGGCUGUUUGGCCCUCCCAAUUAGAUUUUCUUGCUUCAGUUCUUCCUCUUUUUUUGUUUCCUUGUUUGGUUUUUCUCCUGGGUGGAGAUCGUUGUUUGUCUUUGUAUUGUUUUGUCCUGUGACCGCUUUGCUAAUCCCUCUUUGAGUAUGGUGGUUCGUCCAGACGUGGUCACUUUGGGUCUGGGAAUUUCUGGAACUCCACAAGCUGGGCUCUGUCUUCUUUUGUUUUUCUUUGCUUUUGUGUUCUUUUUCUUUGGUUUUGGCUCUCGCCUGGGUUCUUGUGUCUGCUUUCUUUCCCCCGGUUGGGGUCCUUGUGUCUUGUUUGUUUUCUGUUUGGGUUUUGAUUCUCGCCUGGGGGCUUGAGUCUGCUUUCUUUUCUUUUGGUUAUAUGUCUUCUAAACAUCAUAAUU